CCAACGUCUGAAAGCCAACUCUUCAAUCAUCUCUCAGAGGGAAGAGCCCUGGGGACAAGGGCAGGGCUAAGAGGGACGAGAGAGCCAGGAAAGUCCAGGCCAAGGGUGCCUCUUGAACCUUGUGGCUGAGGGGAGCAGGCUGUUGGGAUGAUCAGCGGACAUGGAAAGUCCUUCCAGCUCUACCCCUGUGUAUUUCCCAACGAAUGCUCUCGGAUUUUAGGACUUACCUCCUAAAAUUUUCACUUGGUCUAAAGCAAAAGGCCCCAGGCUCUCUGUCAGGAGCUGCAACUUUUCAUCUGAUGAGGAGGUAAUGAGAUUUGCUGAAUUAUGGCUAUGGGGUUCUGUGUUAAAUAUUACAUUCCUGAGGCUGUUCGUCGAAGGCUUCUCACACAUUUCCCUUUGAAUCUGGAAGUCCAGCUUCAAGGUUUGGCUAAGAUUUAAGAGCCAGUGCACCAUCCUUCAGCUAACUCUUCUCUCCACCUGCUGCAAGGACAUAAACAUUUCAAUGGCACAAAGAUAGAGCAUCUUGAAUUGUUACUGCAAAGAAGACAUCUUUUCUGGAGAGUCACCCAAGCAGUGGAUUUGUGAAUAAGUAAAUCUUGUGUUAAGAUUCUGAUAUUUUGUGGUUAAUUUGUGACCAUAGUACUACAUAGCCUAUUCUAAUGAAUAUGUAGUGACUAUCAGAAUCACUAGAGAACAUACAAACAUAAUUCAUAUUAUAGGUCAAAACUUCAGUCUACUAGCUUAAAAUUUUAAGCAUGGAGAGGAUAUCUCUAUUCUUACAAAGCUAAGAUAGUCUAAUAAUUAGCAAAUAUGAAAAACACUGUUAGAUGUCAGCUAGUUCCACUUAGCCUUUCAAUCUGUUCCAAACUCUACUUUUAUACAUAUAAAAAUCAAAAGAAAGCCAAUAGAUGUGGAAGCUAAUCCUUGGGAAUCCUAAUAUAGCAUGAUGA
rnacentral:lncRNA from 1 species